rnacentral:lncRNA from 1 species
GGAUGUGGGCUUUCCCCUCUUCCCGGGAAUGGUCAAUAUAUUUGAGAGGCAGGAUUGCAGAGCGGUAAGGCACACAGACCCCUAACCACUUGGGUAGAAUCCCUCACUGCUCCACAUCUUCCCAGUUGUGGGACCUUGGACUGUGGGUCAUUUAAGCUUUUCAUGGCAGCUUCCUCAUCUGUAAAAUGGGAUAACAAUAAUCUCUCUCUUGGGAUUGUUGUAAUGAUUAAAUCAGUGAAGGUAUAUAAACUAUCAAGAACAGGGCCUGUGCAUGUUAACUACUGUUACUAUUAUUUGUCUGUCCCAACACACCUGCCAGGAAUCUAAUGACAAUCAGGGGAGGGUGGAGGCUGCACCAGGGCUUGGCAUGAUUGUCCCCAAGAUGACUCGCCGUCUGGCUUGAGAUGUCUUCCUCAGACACUCGUCUUGUCCCCUGCUCCCUCCAGGCCUCAGGCUCGAUCACAUAUGAGCCGUCCUUCCACUGGCCUUCCCCAUCAUCUGCCUUGGCAGGAGGCUGGGGUGGGGGGAGCGGCGAGGGUUUCUUCUGCCAGUGAGGCAAUGGAAGGUGCAAUCCUGCUGGGCCCCGCUGGCUACCAGUGGACAGGUGAUCACGCCAGGCCAUCUUCUCAGGCUCCCAGGAGAGCGGGAAUGAGAAAGAGACAAGAAAGGCAAGGGAGCAGUAGUGUUGAGGGGGACAGAGAUAGGGGAACGCGGGUUUGGGACACCUUCAUUUUCACUGAUUUGAAUGACCUUCUUUGGAUCCUUGUACUCCCUGCCCCUCCCCCCCCAAUUUCCCUUUCUGCAGCUUCCUCUCUUAGGCAUAUCAUCCAGAUUAGAAGGAUGAAGACGAUGUUUACACAAUGCAGUAUAGCAUGGGGUUAAGUGGAGCCAGGCAACCUGGGUUCAAGGUCCAGCUUCAUCAUUUACUAGUGGUGUGGGCAGUGGCGGAGAGUAAAUCCAUCUGAAGCCCUUGGAACAGUGCCAGGCACUCAGAGGCUACUGCGACCCAUGGGGAGGUCUGUAGGUACCCAGACGUCCUGCCUCACUCCCCUGCUCCUGUCCCACCUGCCCAAAGGAGGGGCAGUGUGAAAAGGAAAUGGGAGACCCCUUUUGGACCCCACGGCCAGUCUCUGGAAGCUCCUCUGCAAGAACUUCUAGACCAGGCCACUGGCCCCAGAAACCUAAAACUUCAACUCCCUGCCCCACCCCCACUCCUCAAAGUUCUUCCCCAGGCACAGCUGUGCCCUCAGUGUUAUCCUUUCCCACCAAUAUCCAAGCUCUUCUUCC